GUGGGGAAUAUUCCGCAAUGGACGAAAGUCUGACGGAGCAACGCCGCGUGAGUGAUGAAGGUUUUCGGACUGUAAAGCUCUGUUGUUUAGGACGAAAGUGCCUGUUGCAAACAGUUACAGGUAUUGACGGUACUAAACGAGGAAGCCACGGCUAACUACGUGCCAGCAGCCGCGGUAAUACGUAGGUGGCAAGCGUUGUCCGGAAUUAUUGGGCGUAAAGAGCAUGUAGGCGGGAAUCUAAGUCUGUUGUGAAAAUGCGGGGCUCAACCCCGUAUUGCGAUGGAAACUGGGUUUCUUGAGUGCAGGAGAGGAAAGGGGAAUUCCCAGUGUAGCGGUGAAAUGCGUAGAUAUUGGGAGGAACACCAGUGGCGAAGGCGCCUUUCUGGACUGUGUCUGACGCUGAGAUGCGAAAGCCAGGGUAGCGAACGGGAUUAGAAACCCCAGUAGUCC
rnacentral:rRNA from 1 species